AAGGGAGAGGAAUACGUGGGAACCUACCUCAGGGCCUGGAAUAGCGGCGGGAAACUGCCGGUAAUGCCAGAUAACGUCUCCGGACCAAAGGUGUGAUUCCGCCUGGAGAUGGGCCCACGUCCUAUCAGCUAGUUGGUGUGGUAAAAGCGCACCAAGGCUAAGACGGGUAUGGGGUGUGAGAGCAUGCCCCCACUCACUGGGACUGAGACACUGCCCAGACACCUACGGGUGGCUGCAGUCGAGAAUCUUCGGCAAUGAGCGCAAGCUUGACCGAGCGAUGCCGCGUGCGGGAUGAAGGCCCUCGGGUUGUAAACCGCUGUCGUAGGGGAGUAAUGGUCAGGGGGUUCUCCCUCUGAUUUGAACAAUCCUAGGAGGAAGGACGGGCUAAGUUCGUGCCAGCAGCCGCGGUAAGACGAACCGUCCAAACGUUAUCCGGAAUCACUGGGCUUACAGAGUUCGUAGGCGGUCCCAAAAGUUAGGUGUGAAAUCCCUCGGCUCAACCGAGGAACUGCGCUUAAAACUGUGGGACUCGAGGGGGAUAGAGGAAAGCGGAACUGAUGGUGGAGCGGUGAAAUGCGUUGA
rnacentral:rRNA from 1 species